rnacentral:rRNA from 1 species
GUAAAGAGCAUGUAGGCGGCUUAAUAAGUCGAGCGUGAAAAUGCGGGGCUCAACCCCGUAUGGCGCUGGAAACUGUUAGGCUUGAGUGCAGGAGAGGAAAGGGGAAUUCCCAGUGUAGCGGUGAAAUACGUAGAUAUUGGGAGGAACACCAGUGGCGAAGGCGCCUUUCUGGACUGUGUCUGACGCUGAGAUGCGAAAGCCAGGGUAGCGAACGGGAUUAGAUACCCCGGUAGUCCUGGCCGUAAACGAUGGGUACUAGGUGUAGGAGGUAUCGACCCCUUC